ACCCUCCCUCCCUCCCUUCCCUUUCUCUCAGAUUGCCGCUCUGUUCUGUGAUCAUUAUACCCAUCCAUCACAGACCAACACCAAUCUCUCUCUCUCUCUCUCUCUAACAAACAUUAUUCUCUCUCUAACGCACACAAGCAACACAUAAUUCUCUCUAACGCACACACACAAACACAAACACACGCAAACAUAUUCUUUUCUUUCCCUUCUCUCUGUGUUUGUUUGUGUGUGUGGGGGGGGUUGAAUGUUAGGAUUCUGUGAAUGACUUGGCGAGUCUCGUACAGGGUUUGAUUCACUGAUUCUUUGAUAAUUUUUGUGGUGCCAACUGAACUGAACUGACCAGACCGACCGACCAUAAUGAGUGCCGUUGGUGCUGGUGUUGGUAAUCAAUUGGUCUCUAUUUCUCCUGAUGAGCUCAAGUUUACAUUUGAGCUGGAAAAGCAAAGCUACUGUGAUCUUAAAGUUGUGAACAACACAGAAAAUCAUGUUGCUUUUAAGGU